GGGCCCGCACAAGCAGUGGAGUAUGUGGUUUAAUUCGAAGCAACGCGAAGAACCUUACCAGGUCUUGACAUCGUAUGCAUAGCCUAGAGAUAGGUGAAAUCCCUUCGGGGACAUAUAGACAGGUGGUGCAUGGUUGUCGUCAGCUCGUGUCGUGAGAUGUUGGGUUAAGUCCCGCAACGAGCGCAACCCUUACCUUUAGUUGCUACGCAAGAGCACUCUAGAGGGACUGCCGUUGACAAAACGGAGGAAGGUGGGGAUGACGUCAAAUCAUCAUGCCCCUUAUGACCUGGGCUACACACGUACUACAAUGGCAAUUAACAGAGGGAAGCAAAGCAGCGAUGCAGAGCAAAUCCCCAAAAAUUGUCCCAGUUCAGAUUGCAGGCUGCAACUCGCCUGCAUGAAGUCGGAAUUGCUAGUAAUCGCAGAUCAGCAUGCUGCGGUGAAUACGUUCCCGGGCCUU
rnacentral:rRNA from 1 species